ensembl:snRNA U6 U6 spliceosomal RNA
UUGCUUUGGCAGCACAUAUAUUAAAAUUGGAAAGAUACAGAGCAGAUCAGCAUGGCCCCUGCACAAGGGUGACAUGCAAAUUCAUGAAGCAUUCCAUAUUUUU